UAAACCAGACGAAGAUGGUAAUGCCAAAAUUUAUGCAUUAAAGGCUUCCUCGAUGACUCAUGCUCAACUAUCGCUGAGGGGAGUGUAAGUUGUGUACUCUGGGUGAAGUUGAGAGGAGUGUUUCUUGAAGUCUUUAUCCUUCAAUGGUUUCACUUUUUCUUUAUGGUUGUCGCCUUUCUUUUAGUAUUCUUGUCAUAUUUAUGGUUGGUCUCCUUUUACACAAGCUAUCUGCAAAGGAGCUUGGCCUCAAAGUUAUAUUAUCAUUGAUUGGAGGGCUACCCCAAGUUCGAGGUCUUUGAUCUUCACGACGACUUGAGAAAACUGCUCCAACUUACGUAGUGGUUCUUCAUUGGACUGGCUUAUGUUAAUCAACGCAACUGAUGUGGUGAGGUGAGGCCAACUUGUUGCAUAUUGUGCAUUGAAUCAUUUGACAAGCGUGUUGAAAGAAUCGAUCAAUCUUGAGGGAAGUUGAGUUCACCAAUUCAACUCAAGUCCCUUUAGUGAAGUAGGAAAGAUCUUGCAAAGUUUAGCAUCAUUGUUAAUGUACAGAUUUACCUAAGUGAGAUACGCCUCGAGGUGUUCUUUGGGAUUAGUUGUUCCAUCGUAUCUAUCAAGAUAUAUUGGUUUCCAUCCUAUAGGUAAGGGUGUCAUCGAAAAGGUGUCACUGGACAACCAUUGGAGAGGUUGACUUUGUGAUCUUGACCAUGAAGGGGCCAAGGUUUCCUCCCAUUGAUUCAUGUUGUAUUUGGAGUGUUUGCUCUGUGCUUUUGUGUUUUGUUGUUCAAAUCUAGCAUUUAUUUAGGUAUGUGCAUGAGAUUCUUGCAGUUGUGCUCAAAUGGUGUCAAUUUCCUAUUGUAAUGCUUGCACAUGUGCUUCAUGGUUUUGUCUUAUUGCUUUCAAAUCCUUGACAUUUUUC
rnacentral:lncRNA from 1 species